rnacentral:rRNA from 1 species
ACGGAAGGCAGCAGUGGGGAAUAUUGCACAAUGGGCGCAAGCCUGUUGCAGCGAUGCCGCGUGAGGGAAGAAGGUUUUCGGAUUGUAAACCUCUGUCAACAGGGGCGAAAAUGACGGUACCUGUGAAGGAAGCUCCGGCUAACUACGUGCCAGCAGCCGCGGUAAUACGUAGGGAGCAAGCGUUAUCCGGAAUUACUGGGUGUAAAGGGAGUGUAGGCGGGACUGUAAGUCAGAUGUGAAAUAUGCCGGCUCAACUGGCAGACUGCAUUUGAAACUGCGGUUCUUGAGUGAAGUAGAGGUAAGCGGAAUUCCUAGUGUAGCGGUGAAAUGCGUAGAUAUUAGGAGGAACAUCAGUGGCGAAGGCGGCUUACUGGGCUUUAACUGACGCUGAGGCUCGAAAGCGUGGGGAGCAAACAGGAUUAGAUACCCGGUA